rnacentral:lncRNA from 1 species
CUGCAAUUUGAGUGCCCCCCUCAAAAAAAAAAGAGGAAGGGAGGGAGAAAUGAAAGGAGGAGAAAGAAGCUGAGCAUUCUUUGCUCUGACCGAGGAUAAAAUGAGGAGUGUUAGGCUGAAUUCCCAUCCUCCUGGAUAAGAAAGAAAUCAC